rnacentral:rRNA from 1 species
UGCCAGCAGCCGCGGUAAUACGUAGGGUGCAAGCGUUAAUCGGAAUUACUGGGCGUAAAGCGUGUGUAGGCGGUUCGGAAAGAAAGAUGUGAAAUCCCAGGGCUCAACCUUGGAACUGCAUUUUUAACUGCCGAGCUAGAGUAUGUCAGAGGGGGGUAGAAUUCCACGUGUAGCAGUGAAAUGCGUAGAUAUGUGGAGGAAUACCGAUGGCGAAGGCAGCCCCCUGGGAUAAUACUGACGCUCAGACCCCAAACCGGCGACGGCAAACAGGAGCAGAUG